rnacentral:ribozyme from 1 species
ACAGCCCGCAAGGCCGACGGCAUCCGCCGCCGCUGGUGCAAGCCCAGCCGCCGCCACAACAGCGGCGGGCGCUCAUGGGUCCCAC